AAAAAAAAGAAAUUGGAGUAGAAAAGUCGUUCGAGUUGCAAAAGCAAAAGCGAAAAUCCGAUGGAGUGCUCCCAGAAUCUCAAGGUAAGCAAAGAAGAGGUGAUAGCGAAGCUAAAGGACGAUGGCGACUUCGACAGGCUCCGCCGCAAGAUCAUUCAAAAGCUCAAAAACAACGAGGAAUUACGCGAAAAUAUUAUUUCAAUUGUGAAGCAAUCACAAGCGCUUAAUCGCCCAGGUGCCGAGAACAUGAAACCCAGGCAACUCUCUGAUGACAUUUAUCAGGAGGUUGGGGGCAAAGUGAUGAGCCAGAUAUCGGAUGGGUUGUGGGGGAUAAUCAGAUCAAGUGAUGCAAUGCAGAGUGAAAUAAGCGAAACUGUUCAGUCUGUUUACAAUAAAUUGGCUAAUCCAGAUGGGAAUGCAGACGGUCAGUCCUCCACUCAUGUUGUUCAAGUUCAAGUCGAGUCUAGUGAUAAUGGAUUAGUCGCCGGUGCUGCCAGUGGAGCUGUUGAUGGUGUGUACGACCAUCAUCAGGAUGACAAUAACCAUGAGGCACAACUUCCGCCUCGUGAAAAAGGAGCUAUGACAGAGCACCGGGAAAUGUUACAGGAUAAGAUGGAUACCGAGGGUGUUGAUCGCAUAGUGGCUCCUGGCGUUUCUACAGACACGGAGCACAAGCAGGAGUGUGAUGGUAGCGAUGAGGACCCCGAUGUGCCUCCUGGUUUUGGUUAAUGCCAUUGUCAUGCAAUUCUGUUUGGUCGGUGUUACUAUGCAGCUAUCGAAUUUCAGGUUGUUCAGUGUUCCUCAGGUACAUAGUUCACCCAUUUCAUGCCAGCAUAAAUGAGUGGUAGCAGUGUAGAAUUACUGAAGUCACUGGAGUGGGAAAGUCCUUCACCGUCAAGUUCUCUGUUUCCCGUCACUGUUGUUGCUCUGAUGCUUCUGUCAAUGGUGCUUGCACAAACAGUGGGAAGCCAUUUGCUACUGUGCUAGUGGCCGGACCCCAAUUCCCGGCAGAACAACUAAUGAAUACUCCUCUUUGAACUGCUUCAAAUGUACCUAUUGUGAGGGAAAAUGAGUUGGGGAUUAGGAUAAGUCAAAGUGUUGGAUAUAAUGUAACAAAGAAAAUGUACCUAUAGUAAUUAAGUUAUUGAACCUCACUGGAGCGUAGGCCAAAGCAGAUCGAAAGCACA